AUCCUUCUGUAGUUCAUGAGCAUGAAAAUCGGGUGUUCACACACAUGUGUGAGAUGUAUUUUGUUAUGACACUCAAAUUUUGUUAUGACAUCACCACGUUAGCCCAUCUGACA
ensembl:snoRNA